rnacentral:lncRNA from 1 species
UGGUUCCCUUUACAGUCAGAGGAUGAACAGAAACCUCACAGCAGAAGCUUGGGGACAACUUGGGACAUUUUGUGGUACUCCAUGAGGAGGUAUUUGAACAGCUGCCUACGCAGAGGCGAGGGAGGGAGCCUUGCCUUCCUAACUGGAGGAAUAUGACUGUGUGCACAGAGGAGGGCCGCACCUUGGACCCCAACUUUUAGCGGCUGGGGGAGCUGCAGGAUGGAGCACAGAAGCUUGUUUGCUAGCUGCAGAAUCUUGCGCCUACACCCUAGAGCUAGUGUCAUGGCCUCAAGACUUCUUGAACAAGAGAGUUACACCAGAAUCUUUAAGAAGAUCUCAGGCACAUCUCUGAUGUAGCCACAUAGAGCCCAAAGGUUGCAGUGCCGAGGGACUCGCUCCCGGGUUCUCGUCUGUGAGAACCACUCCAAAGGGACCCAGGGCACCUUGUGGCCAUCGAGCUCUCUGUUGGGACCAGUAGCAGCCUCCUGAGGGGACUGCAGAGUCCUGCCCUCGAGGAACUUACAGGGAGGAACCAGUUGUAGCUGACACGCACUGAGCUUCAGACCCUGUAACUAAUGCUGUCAGGGAUCAUGUCCUUUAAUCUGCGCAGCCACCUGAUGAGGUUGGACAAUUACUUCCCCCUUUUUAGAGAUGAGGAGAUUGAAGUUUACAGAGAUUAAGUUUUUCCAUGGGGCCACACAGCUAGUGAGAGAUGAGGCUGGGACUGAACUCAGGCAGUCCAGCUCCAGACGCUCCGUUGUGUAAAUAUAGAUAUUAGUGACAACGUUUGUAGUGUGGAGUAGCAAUUCUUAAUUCUUCACUAAUGGCGAGAUAGAGUAAAACUAGCUGCCCCUGUAUGGAACAUUCUGUGACAAAUACAGUGACGCCUUCUUACCGUGAUUCUUCUCCAGAUCUCAGGAGUCAUGGGAACUAAUUGCAAAUCAAAUGGCUCUAAUUUGCUACUUUCAAGUCAAGGAGGCCACAGAAGGAGAAUUUCAAGAAGGGAGUAGAGGACAAUGUUACAUGCUGCAGAGAGAAAGUAAAAUGGGAACUGGGAAGAUUCCAUCAGAUUUGCAAUUAGACUUUGUGAACUAAAAUAUCUCUUGUGUCCUGGGAUACCAAGAGAUUUUUUUCCUUGCUUAAUUUUGAUGAAAUAAUUUUGAUGAAAUAGGUCAUAUACACAUAGUGCUAAAUUCAAAACACAGAAGAGGAAGACAGCGAAAAGCCUCUAGGUGUCCCCCUCCCAUCCCUGCACCCCAGGCGCCCAGGUUCCUUUCCAGGAAGCAAACAAUAUUACCAAUUUAUUGUGCAUCCUUACUCUAUACGCAUCUAAUAAAUAAGUGUAUAUACUCUUUUUUCUGUUUUUACACACAGGGUAUCAUACUGUAUGGAGUGUUCUGCACCUCUUCUUGUUGUUAAUUUAACAAUAUAUCCGUGGUCUUGUAGACCAUUCCAUAACAGUAGGGCGCGAGUUUCCUCAUUACUUUUUGCAGUUGCACGGGGUUCCAUGGUAUGAAUGUAUUCUAAUUAAUGAAGAUAUGUUUUCAGUUGACCCUAAAAAAACACCAACAUCUAGGAAAGAUACUGGAAAGGGCUUUCUCUUUCAAGGACAGAAAGGUAGCUAUCUGGAGCAAGUAGACAGAACGGAGGACCAUUCAAAUACUAA